GCUCCAAUAGCGUAUAUUUAAGUUGUUGCAGUUAAAAAGCUCGUAGUUGGAUUUCGGGUUGGUUCCUGCGGUCCGCCUCUGGUGAGUACUGCUGGGACCUACCUUUCUGUCGGGGACGGGCUCCUGGGCUUAACUGUCCGGGACUCGGAGUCGACGAGGUUACUUUGAGUAAAUUAGAGUGUUCAAAGCAAGCCUAUGCU
rnacentral:rRNA from 1 species